AUGUUACAUACUCGGAACCUGCAUGGUCACCCAGCUUGCUCAGACUACUUGGAAUAUGUAUGCACAUCAUAUUUUCUUGACCCGAGGGAUAGAGAAGACAACCCGAUUUUUCCAUCAGAUAUGGCAGUGAUCUUUGCGCAGCUGAAGUGUGACCGUGCUAAUAUUUAUUGGCGUAGUUGGCAUCACAUGUUUCGGGUCGACUGGCCAAACCCCUUUCUGCAGCAACAGGUUAUUAAGCUCGUUGGAGGAGUAUCCGAGGGACAAUCUCCAUGGGACCCGGGUGGUGUCCACUUCGUCGACAUUAUUGGACUUCUCAGUAAGCUGCUAGUGCCAUGGGAUCCUGGUGGUUCACAUCAUCAGCUUGAGGACAAGCCGCAUUUUAAGGGGACGAGAAUGUCAUGCCCUAGGGGUCAUGCCCCUUUUACUCUUCGUGGGACUUCUCUAGAAAAUGGGCCGUGGAGCAUGGGGUGGGCCUAG
rnacentral:rRNA from 1 species